GACGAACGCUGGCGGCGUGCUUAACACAUGCAAGUCGAACGGUGAAGGGACCAGCUUGCUGGUUCUGGAUGAGUGGCGAACGGGUGAGUAACACGUGAGUAACCUGCCCCCUUCUUCUGGAUAACCGCAUGAAAGUGUGGCUAAUACGGGAUAUUCUGGGUCUGUCGCAUGGCGGGCCCGGGAAAGAUAUUGCUUCGGUGGGGGAUGGGCUCGCGGCCUAUCAGCUUGUUGGUGGGGUGAUGGCCUACCAAGGCGGUGACGGGUAGCCGGCCUGAGAGGGUGGACGGUCACACUGGGACUGAGACACGGCCCAGACUCCUACGGGAGGCAGCAGUGGGGAAUAUUGCACAAUGGGCGCAAGCCUGAUGCAGCGACGCCGCGUGAGGGAUGGAGGCCUUCGGGUUGUAAACCUCUUUCGCCAGUGAAGCAGGCCUGCUCCUUGUGGGUGGGUUGACGGUAGCUGGAGAAGAAGCGCCGGCUAACUACGUG
rnacentral:rRNA from 1 species